UAGGACCAGCACUGCCAUACAGACUCUCCUGAGAGGCUCCUGAUGGAAGGAGUCUGGCACAGGCCUGCUGGUCUCUGAAAUGACCUUCUAGGUGUGAAGAGUGUCCAAAAGGGUUUCCUGUCUUCCAAGAUGAAAAUUUUUGCAGCAAGGUGAAAGUCAGUGGCAUCAUUUAUUGCUCAUUCCUGGCUCUCAGCAACACCCAGUUUGGCUGUCGGGGAAGCCACAUGUAAACACUUUGUCAAAGUGCACUGUCUGUCCCUUUCAGCAGUCACUUGGGAAGGGAAAGGGAGUCUGACACUGUGUCUGCUGCUCUCCCUUGUUUGGAAGAAUUAGUUCUUUGUAAAUAAAAGCCUAUGCUUUUUCCUGC